GAUGAACGCUGGCGGCGUGCCUAAUACAUGCAAGUCGAGCGAACGGACGAGAAGCUUGCUUUUCUGAUGUUAGCGGCGGACGGGUGAGUAACACGUGGAUAACCUACCUAUAAGACUGGGAUAACUUCGGGAAACCGGAGCUAAUACCGGAUAUUAUUUUGAACCGCAUGGUUCAAAAGUGAAAGACGGUCUGGCUGUCACGUAUAGAUGGAUCCGCGCUGCAUUAGCUAGUUGGUAAGGUAACGGCUUACCAAGGCAACGAUGCAUAGCCGACCUGAGAGGGUGAUCGGCCACACUGGAACUGAGACACGGUCCAGACUCCUACGGGAGGCAGCAGUAGGGAAUCUUCCGCAAUGGGCGAAAGCCUGACGGAGCAACGCCGCGUGAGUGAUGAAGGUCUUCGGAUCGUAAAACUCUGUUAUUAGGAAAGAACAUAUGUGUAAGUAACUGUGCACAUCUUGACGGUACCUAAUCAGAAAGCCACGGCUAACUACGUG
rnacentral:rRNA from 1 species